CUUGAAUCCAUAAGUACACAGAAAAAUAUUUUGUCAUUGUUCAAGACUCUUCAACAGCAGGAAAAAUAUGCAACCGAUUAGACAGACACCCCAUCUUUCAUUUAACCUUUCUCUGUGGAAUACGUACAGUUUGCAACUUGUCAUUCAUUACAAAGUUUUAUGGAAGAAAAUCUACUUUCCCUGAAGAAAAAGAAUAUGAGCUGUGAAGUCAGGCUUCCCAGCUCGUCUUGCUGAAUCUACAGAAACAGACCCCAGAUGUGACUCUAAAGCCCAUGCUCCUGUCUGCAUUGUCUACAAUUUCCCAAAUGAAAGCAAAGAAAGAACGUAAAUUAUUUGGCAAAAUGAUGGUCUUAUUGAUGACUGCCCAGCUCCAUCUACUUCACAGUAGCUGCAUGAGAGUGCAUUGCCUUUGAUGAGACUGCUG